rnacentral:rRNA from 1 species
CGCCUUGCCAGCCCGCUCAGAACUUAAAGGAAGUUGACGGGGCCGCACAAGCGGUGGAGUAUGUGGUUUAAUUCGAUGCAAACGCGAAGAACCUUACCUGGUCUUGACAUCCCGGAGACCCUUAGGAAACUAGGGGGUGCUUCCAUCUGGAAGAAUCUGGAGACAGGUGCUGCAUGGCUGUCGUCAGCUCGUGUCGUGAGAUGUUGGGUUAAGUCCCGCAACGAGCGCAACCCUUGCCUUUAGUUGCCAGCAGUUCGGCUGGGCACUCUAAAGGGACUGCCGGUGUUAAACCGGAGGAAGGUGGGGAUGACGUCAAGUCCUCAUGGCCUUUAUGACCAGGGCUACACACGUACUACAAUGGCCGAUACAAAGGGCAGCGACACUGCGAGGUGAAGCCAAUCCCGUAAAAUCGGUCUCAGUCCGGAUUGGAGUCUGCAACUCGACUCCAUGAAGUUGGAAUCGCUAGUAAUCGUGGAUCAGCAUGCCACGGUGAAUACGUUCCCGGGCCUU